rnacentral:rRNA from 1 species
GACAGAGGGUGCUAGCGUUGUUCGGAAUUACUGGGCGUAAAGGGCGCGUAGGCGGCUCGUUUAGUCGGGUGUGAAAUCCCGGGGCUCAACCCCGGAACUGCAUUCGAUACUGGCGGGCUAGAGACCGGAAGAGGUGGGUGGAAUACCCAGUGUAGAGGUGAAAUUCGUAGAUAUCGAGAGGAACACCUGCGGCGAAGGCGGGUAGCUGGGCCGACACUGACGCUGAGGCGCGAAAGCUAGGGGAGCAAACGGG